AAUUUAUCACGCAAAAAAUAACUAAGUAAAUAUGAAUAGCAGACAUUUCUUAUUAGGUACACUCCAGUACUACAACUGAAUGCUUUAUCAUAUUUUCGUAAUAAGGAGACUCGUUAAAAAAAAAGGAAAUCUUCAGAUUGGCCUAACGGGUAAUCCUGAGAAGUUUGGUAGCGAUUCGGAUAAAUAAUAAACUUGACAUGUAAUCGUUUUGAUACUUUGACACACAUUAACUCUUUCAGUUACGAUGAUCGCAAAGAUACACGUGAUAAGCUUUAUGCAUAUGAGUCUAUAUCCGCUUAACACGAUGUCGAUCAUGAAGCUUUCUGUCUAUGUAAUUUAAGAAUUGCUUUAAGAACAAUGUAAUCCAUACCUUGGCUUUUCCGUAAGGGUAGAUAUUAAUGUUUAGAUAUUGAUUCAAUCUUUCAAUUGUUGGUGCUAAUAUCGCGGAGUCGAACACUCUACAGCCAGGACACAAGGAUUCGUAAUAGACCUUUACAUCUACUUUUUCAUCAACAUACUGUUGUAUCUGAAACAGUUAUAAACAUUACCUCAGCAUUAAACAACCUUUCCUUUGGAAAAUAAAGUGUCUGUGUAUGAUUUCGAAAAAUA